rnacentral:rRNA from 1 species
AGAGAUGUGUGAUGACGCAUAUCAAUAAGCGGAGGAAAAGAAACUAACAAGGAUUCCCUUAGUAACGGCGAGUGAAGCGGGAAGAGCUCAAAUUUGAAAUCUUCAAGGUUCUACCUUGACGAAUUGUAGUUUAUAGAAGUGUUUUCUGUUAGUGGAGUGGCAAAAGUUCUUUGGAAUAGGACAUCAUAGAGGGUGAGAAUCCCGUAUUUGGUCAUUCCUCCUAGCGUUGUGAUACACUUUCAAAGAGUCGGAUUGUUUGGGAAUGCAGUCCAAAAUGGGUGGUAAAUUUCAUCUAAAGCUAAAUAUUGGCGAGAGACCGAUAGCGAACAAGUACCGUGAGGGAAAGAUGAAAAGAACUUUGAAAAGAGAGUUAAACAGCACGUGAAAUUGUCAAAAGGGAAGCGUUUGACACCAGUGUUGUUUUUCCGAAAAUCAAUUACGAAUGUUUUGUUUUUAAGAAGUUAUGACUUCAUCGGCUUGCUUCUUUCUUUACGAAACUUUCUUAAUGCACUUUUCGGUUAACAAGUCCAACAUCAAUUUCUUUUGUUGUAAAAGGGUAUGAGGAAGGUGGCUUUCUUUUCGGAGAAAGUGUUUAUAGCCUUGUACCUCUGCAAUCGGAGAGAUUGAGGUCUGCAGCGUAGAUCCUUCGGGGUUAGAUACAUUUGUGCUAAGUUAUAGCUUUUCAUAGACAACUUGUUGACUAUGAUUUAGUCAUUGUAGCUUACUCGCUUAUGCUAUUUUACCUACGCUUAGGAUGUUGAAGAUGUAGCACAUCAU